AAAUUGAAGAGUUUGAUCAUGGCUCAGAUUGAACGCUGGCGGCAGGCCUAACACAUGCAAGUCGAACGGUAACAGGAAGCAGCUUGCUGCUUCGCUGACGAGUGGCGGACGGGUGAGUAAUGUCUGGGAAACUGCCUGAUGGAGGGGGAUAACUACUGGAAACGGUGGCUAAUACCGCAUAACGUCGCAAGACCAAAGAGGGGGACCUUCGGGCCUCUUGCCAUCAGAUGUGCCCAGAUGGGAUUAGCUUGUUGGUGAGGUAACGGCUCACCAAGGCGACGAUCCCUAGCUGGUCUGAGAGGAUGACCAGCCACACUGGAACUGAGACACGGUCCAGACUCCUACGGGAGGCAGCAGUGGGGAAUAUUGCACAAUGGGCGCAAGCCUGAUGCAGCCAUGCCGCGUGUAUGAAGAAGGCCUUCGGGUUGUAAAGUACUUUCAGCGGGGAGGAAGGUGUUGUGGUUAAUAACCACAGCAAUUGACGUUACCCGCAGAAGAAGCACCGGCUAACUCCGUGCCAGCAGCCGCGGUAAUACGGAGGGUGCAAGCGUUAAUCGGAAUUACUGGGCGUAAAGCGCACGCAGGCGGUCUGUCAAGUCGGAUGUGAAAUCCCCGGGCUCAACCUGGGAACUGCAUUCGAAACUGGCAGGCUUGAGUCUUGUAGAGGGGGGUAGAAUUCCAGGUGUAGCGGUGAAAUGCGUAGAGAUCUGGAGGAAUACCGGUGGCGAAGGCGGCCCCCUGGACAAAGACUGACGCUCAGGUGCGAAAGCGUGGGGAGCAAACAGGAUUAGAUACCCUGGUAGUCCACGCCGUAAACGAUGUCUACUUGGAGGUUGUGCCCUUGAGGCGUGGCUUCCGGAGCUAACGCGUUAAGUAGACCGCCUGGGGAGUACGGCCGCAAGGUUAAAACUCAAAUGAAUUGACGGGGGCCCGCACAAGCGGUGGAGCAUGUGGUUUAAUUCGAUGCAACGCGAAGAACCUUACCUGGUCUUGACAUCCACAGAACUUUCCAGAGAUGGAUUGGUGCCUUCGGGAACUGUGAGACAGGUGCUGCAUGGCUGUCGUCAGCUCGUGUUGUGAAAUGUUGGGUUAAGUCCCGCAACGAGCGCAACCCUUAUCCUUUGUUGCCAGCGGUCCGGCCGGGAACUCAAAGGAGACUGCCAGUGAUAAACUGGAGGAAGGUGGGGAUGACGUCAAGUCAUCAUGGCCCUUACGACCAGGGCUACACACGUGCUACAAUGGCGCAUACAAAGAGAAGCGACCUCGCGAGAGCAAGCGGACCUCAUAAAGUGCGUCGUAGUCCGGAUUGGAGUCUGCAACUCGACUCCAUGAAGUCGGAAUCGCUAGUAAUCGUGGAUCAGAAUGCCACGGUGAAUACGUUCCCGGGCCUUGUACACACCGCCCGUCACACCAUGGGAGUGGGUUGCAAAAGAAGUAGGUAGCUUAACCUUCGGGAGGGCGCUUACCACUUUGUGAUUCAUGACUGGGGUGAAGUCGUAACAAGGUAACCGUAGGGGAACCUGCGGUUGGAUCACCUCCUUA
rnacentral:rRNA from 3 species